AGAGUUUGAUCAUGGCUCAGGACGAACGCUGGCGGCGUGCCUAACACAUGCAAGUCGAGCGGAGGACAGUGAGUAGCUUGCUAUGAGCUGUUUUAGCGGCGGACGGGUGAGUAACGCGUGAGCAACCGUUUCCCAGACAGGGGAAUAACACACCGAAAGGUGUACUAAUACCGCAUAAGACCACGGGAUCACAUGGUUCUGGGGUAAAAGAUUUAUCGGUUUGGGGGUGGGCUCGCGUCCGAUUAGGUAGUUGGUGAGGG
rnacentral:rRNA from 1 species